rnacentral:rRNA from 1 species
AUUGAACGCUGGCGGCAGGCCUAACACAUGCAAGUCGAGCGAGCGGCGGACGGGUGAGUAAUGUCUGGGAAUCUGCCUGAUAGAGGGGGAUAACUACUGGAAACGGUGGCUAAUACCGCAUACUAUCGGAUGUACCCAUAUGGGAUUAGCUAGUAGGUGGGGUAAAGGCUCACCUAGGCGACGAUCCCUAGCUGGUCUGAGAGGAUGACCAGCCACACUGGAACUGAGACACGGCCCAGACUCCUACGGGAGGCAGCAGUGGGGAAUAUUGCACAAUGGGCGCAAGCCUGAUGCAGCCAUGCCGCGUGUAUGAAGAAGGCCUUCGGGUUGUAAAGUACUUUCAGCGGGGAGGCGUUACCCGCAGAAGAAGCACCGGCUAACUCCGUGCCAGCAGCCGCGGUAAUUC